rnacentral:lncRNA from 1 species
CAGUGUUCAUCGUGGUGAUCAGAUGGCACCAGGACCAAAGGAGCCCUGGCUAGUGUGAGUCAGAGCAGUGCAGGGGGGGAGACCCCGAUGGAGAGCCCACCUAAGCUGAUGUCUGCAGAUUUCCAGAGCCUGAGGAUGUGCAUGUUCUCCG